rnacentral:lncRNA from 1 species
AUGUACUACAGCAAAUGACACUGUCAUCAGACACCUCUGUUUUUAAGGAGAGUUGUGGGGAAGAAUUUCAAGAAAAAGGAGUUUUUUGCUUUGUGCUGACUGAUGUGGAGCUGCUGUUUGUUUCAGCUACAGGGGAUUGCUUUUAAUGCCCAUUUUCAGUCCUCAUUACAUCCUGAGAGGAUGGCUCCAUCCAUGCCCUGGGUUAUGCCCUUGCUGGUACCCUACAGAUGAUGCCUGCUCUUACAGGAUAUGAACCAGCUCAGGGAAGCUCCAAGUUCAGCUGCUGCCAUUUCAUCCAGAAGAUCCCAGACUUUGGGUUUUUAACAGAAGAAACAGAAAUACACUUCAGUUCAUCAGUACAGGAGAAAAAUACAUCUCUGAGAAUAACAGCCUGGAAAAUACAUCGGAGCUGUGCUGAUGGACCAGAGCAGCCAGGCCACUGGCAAUCAAAGAAAGCAGCAGCAGGUGAUCAGAAUAUUCCCAGAGAUAAUUACAACUGAAACAAAAAAAGAAAAAAAACAACAACUGUCCAGUGCUGUCUCCAUGGCAAACAGACAGGAGUGCCUCAGUUCUCAGUCCACUGACCUCGUUGCUACAAGGUCUGCAAAAUGUCUAGCCUACGUCCAUCGUGAUCAUGGAAGGAGACAACUGAUGGUUGGUUGGGAACUCUCCAAGUGUUUCUUACACUCGGUUGCAAACACUGCAAGUAAAGGAAAGAGUAAAAGAGGAAAUAAUAAGUAAUAAUACAAAGCCUGGAUACUGGAGACUUGGAGAGGAGAGGAGAGCUUGUUUGGGAGCUGCAAUGUUUGUGAGUACCUAUGUCCUUGAGGCUUAAAAAUGGACAGAAGCUGCUUUUCCAUCACCUGCCUGCCAGCAGUGAAAUCUGUUCCGAGAAACCUCGCAAGAACAAUCCUCAGCAAAGUAAACAAGAAGGGCUGGGAGAGCUACUGACUGAAGGAUAUGCCAGCACACACUAAAAUAUUUGCUAAUUGGAAAUAUAUUGUCCCACCGUGCUGCCAGCUCCAGCUCUGACUCAUAAAACAUCAACUGGCUUCAGAUUGAAUUUUGAGGUUGAUAACCUCAUCACAUGUGUACCAAAAGUGCCCAGAAGAGAGGAGGCUGCAGUGACACUGAGCACUGAUUUGUCUUUCUGUUUCCAUCCUGCUUUCAUCUGGGACAGAGUUGAUUUUCUUCAUAGCUUUUUGGAGUUCUGGCUUCAGGAGAAGAACAGUGUUGAUAACACACCAAUGCUUUAGUUGCUGCUGAGCAGUGGCUGCACAAAGCCAAAGACAUUUCAGUUUCUCAUCCUGCCAGUGAGGGCUGCUGGG